rnacentral:rRNA from 1 species
UACGUAGGGCGCAAGCGUUGUCCGGAAUUAUUGGGCGUAAAGAGCUCGUAGGCGGCCUGUUGCGUCCGCUGUGAAAUCCCGGGGCUUAACCCCGGGCUUGCAGUGGAUACGGGCAGGCUGGAGGCAGGCAGGGGAGAACGGAAUUCCCGGUGUAGCGGUGAAAUGCGUAGAUAUCGUCUGGAACGCCGAAGGUGAAAACAGCUCGCUGGGGCUGCGCUGACGCUGAGACACGAAAGCCAGGGGAGCGAACGGG